rnacentral:rRNA from 1 species
GACGAACGCUGGCGGCGUGCUUAACACAUGCAAGUCGAACGAAGUGGCGAACGGGUGAGUAACGCGUAAUCAACCUGCCCUUAAGAGGGGGACAACAGUUGGAAACGACUGCUAAUACCGCAUACUGAAGGAGGGGAUUGCGUCUGAUUAGCUAUGUGGAGGGGUACCGGCCCAACAAGGCGAUGAUCAGUAGCCUGUCGGAUAGGAUGAACGGCCACAUUGGGACUUAGACACGGCCCAGACUCCUACGGGAGGCAGCAGUGGGGAAUCUUCUGCAAUGGACGAAAGUCUGACUGAGCAACGCCGCGUGAGUGAUGACGGCCUUCGGGUUGUAAAGCUCUGUUAAUCGGGACGCGGUACCGGAAUAGAAAGCCACGGCUAACUACGUGCCAGCCGCCGCGGUAAUAC